rnacentral:rRNA from 1 species
UACGUAGGUGGCAAGCGUUAUCCGGAAUUAUUGGGCGUAAAGCGCGCGCAGGUGGUUUCUUAAGUCUGAUGUGAAAGCCCACGGCUCAACCGUGGAGGGUCAUUGGAAACUGGGAGACUUGAGUGCAGAAGAGGAAAGUGGAAUUCCAUGUGUAGCGGUGAAAUGCGUAGAGAUAUGGAGGAACACCAGUGGCGAAGGCGACUUUCUGGUCUGUAAACUGACACUGAGGCGCGAAAAGCGUGGGGGAGCAAACAGG